CCAUUUUGAGAAAAGUGGAAAUAAAAGGAAAAACCUUUUAUGAUAACAUAAAUUGAACAGGCUAAUUUGCGCAAGAGAGUACAAAUUGAGUGCGCGGUUUGGCACCUCGAUGUCGGCUUAGCUCAUCCACAUGAAUGCAAAAAUCAUGAAGGGUUCGACUGUUCGUCGAUUAAAGAGCUACAUGAGCUGGGUUUAAUACGUCGUGAGACAGUAUGGUUUCUAUCUUCUAGAGGGAAUUAAAGUAGAAUAAAGAUAGCCCCUUCGUACGAAAGGAGUUGGGUAUAUUGACCUAUGGUUUACCUGUUGUUUAUGCUAUAUAUUAUAUAUUAUAUAAUAUAUCAUUUACUUAUACUUAAGUAAAUUGUUCACAUAGGCAUGGCAGGAAGGCUACGUCAGUUAAAGAUAAGUGCUGAAAGCAUUUAAGCGCGAAGCUUACUUUAGGAUACUUUUAAACGUAGUAGAACACUACGAGUAUAAUUGUUAUAGCCCCCUUCCUGUAGUGGGUAUAAUGAUUAAUAGGCUUUAGUUGUACUAAUCUUAAAAUUUUUAGACAUAAAGUACUAAUUAUUAAA
rfam:Aspergillus clavatus NRRL 1 1099423829828 genomic scaffold, whole genome shotgun sequence.